GUAUUAUUAUUCACUGCAGAGAGAGGAAACAAGGGCUCGCCUGGAAGGGGGCUCUCCCCACGCCGAUCAACGACAUGCACACACACAUAUCCCACAUGGGCUGAAGGCGCAAGCCCACGCCCAUCGCCCCUGCCUGGAGCGGAAACAAUAGGAGGGAGAGCCUGAGACCAGAGAGAGAGAAAGGAGCCGCCCGUCCUGCCCUGCGCCAGCUCGCCCUCCUAAGGCGGCGAGGAUCCCUCGCAAAGGCCGCGCAACUCCUUCCCCCCCUCCCCGGAGGGCGGAACGGACGGGCAGACGGUCCCGAGCCCCAAGCCUGUCGGGUUUCCCCCUGUACUCACCGAACAAGGUCCAACCUGUAAUGAGAGAUGAAGGUGGACACUUGGGACCAGGUGGCCGUCCUGCAGAUAUCAGAGCUCUGCGCCUGGAUGGUGAGACAACCAGCCAAUCGUUGAUGUAUGGGAAUACAUGAAUACCGUUCGGUCUCAGCAGGUGAAUGAUCGACUCCAACGUAACCAUCCGGAAUCGGCGUGGAUGAAGGUUUGUAAGACUGUUGGUGGUGAGAAGACUGAGCACGAGCUUGAGAACAUUCCGAGGAGACCAGCGCGGGCACUGACUUAACCCUUUUGUGUGCAUUCACAGAAGACCACGAUGAAGAAUCCCCAUUCUUUCCUGCUUUCUCUCCCCACACCCCAUUGUUUUAAAAGGAAUGAGACCUGAGAAGGAGUCUUUGUGAAGGGUCCAGAUUUGCUUCUCUUCUCAGGGAAGAUCUGUUUGCCUCAGGAGGCACUAGAACUUCUCUUAAGGACACUGCUUUUGCAACAUACAGUACAUCUCUAGUCCUUUGGGAUCAUUUAAACACUUUGUAACAGUACUUUAUAUAAUCUGGGUAGACACAGAAGGAAAGCAAGAAAAUUAGCAGACUAUACAAAAUCUGAAGUAUGCAGAUUUAAAGGUGGCAUUUCCACACUACCCUACCACCUAUGUUGCUAUUGUUAAAUGGAAGCAUUUCAAAAGUAAACCUCAUACCCCCACCCCCAAUGAGAUCGUUCACUUAUUCUGGGUGCCUCCUCUCAUUUACAGGUGAUCAGUAUCUCUACUGGAUUUUUUUUUCAUUACUCCCUUUCAAAACGAAAAGUGCAUUUCAGAAGUGUCUUUUGCUGUUCAAAGAUGGGAAGGCUGAUAAAAUCAGCAUUUUGGUGUGGCUAACACUAAAUAUGGACAGUUUUAAGAACAGCCAGUCUGAAGAACCCACACUUGGUCAGGCACAAGAUGAUCUUUAUGUAAUCUUAGCAGCACUGUUAGAAAGCUCCAUCUUUAUUCUCAAUCCAAAAUGGACUAGUUCCACAGCACUAGCACGAUGGAAUCUUCCUGUUCUGUUCCCUUUCACCUGCAAACAUUAGAUUGACCCCAACAUCUGCAGUGUAAUAUCUGCAGAAAUAAAAAGAAAUUGUAUUUCUUUUUAUUUAUGCAAAUUAUGUUAUGUGCUAUGCU